rnacentral:rRNA from 1 species
AGAGUUUGAUCCUGGCUCAGAUUGAACGCUGGCGGCAGGCCUAACACAUGCAAGUCGAGCGGUAGCACAAGAGAGCUUGCUCUCUGGGUGACGAGCGGCGGACGGGUGAGUAAUGUCUGGGAAACUGCCUGAUGGCGGGGGAUAACUAGUGGAAACGGUAGCUAAUACCGCAUAACGUCGCAAGACCAAAGUGGGGGACCUUCGGGCCUCACGCCAUCAGAUGUGCCCAGGUGGGAUUAGCUGGUAGGUGGGGUAACGGCUCACCUAGGCGACGAUCCCUAGCUGGUCUGAGAGGAUGACCAGCCACACUGGAACUGAGACACGGUCCAGACUCCUACGGGAGGCAGCAGUGGGGAAUAUUGCACAAAGGGCGCAAGCCUGAUGCAGCCAUGCCGCGUGUGUGAAGAAGGCCUUCGGGUUGUAAAGCACUUUCAGCGAGGAGAAAGGGUAAUGUGUUAAUAAGACAUUGCAUUGACGUUACUCGCA